AGUGAACGCUGGCGGCGUGCUUAACACAUGCAAGUCGAACGAGAACGGGCUAUAACUUGCUAUAGUUGUCAGCUAAGUGGCGCACGGGUGAGUAAUGUAUAGGUAAUAUGCCUCUUACUACGGGAUAACAAAUGGAAACGUUUGCUAAUACCUUAUACUCCUUAUUAACAGAAGUUAAUAAGGGAAAGAUUUAUUGGUAAGAGAUUAGCCUGUAUUGUAUCAGUUAGUUGGUGGGGUAAUGGCUUACCAAGACUAUGACACAUAACUGGUUUGAGAGGAUGAUCAGUCACACUGGAACUGAGACACGGUCCAGACUCCUACGGGAGGCAGCAGUGGGGAAUAUUGCACAAUGGACGAAAGUCUGAUGCAGCAACGCCGCGUGGAGGAUGACACAUUUCGGUGCGUAAACUCCUUUUAUAUGAGAAGAUAAUGACGGUAUUAUAUGAAUAAGCACCGGCUAACUCCGUGCCAGCCGCCGCGGUAA
rnacentral:rRNA from 1 species